GACGAACGCUGGCGGCGUGCUUAACACAUGCAAGUCGAACGGAAAGGCCCUGCUUUUGUGGGGUGCUCGAGUGGUGAACGGGUGAGUAACACGUGAGUAACCUGCCCUUGACUUUGGGAUAACUUCAGGAAACUGGGGCUAAUACCGGAUAGGAGCUCCUGCUGCAUGGUGGGGGUUGGAAAGUUUCGGCGGUUGGGGAUGGACUCGCGGCUUAUCAGCUUGUUGGUGGGGUAGUGGCUUACAAAGGCUUUGACGGGUAGCCGGCCUGAGAGGGUGACCGGCCACAUUGGGACUGAGAGACGGACCAGACUCCUACGGGAGGCAGCAGUGGGGAAUAUUGCACAAUGGGCGGAAGCCUGAUGCAGCAACGCCGCGUGCGGGAUGACGGCCUUCGGGUUGUAAACCGCUUUCGCCUGUGACGAAGCGUGAGUGACGGUAAUGGGUAAAGAAGCACCGGCUAACUACGUG
rnacentral:rRNA from 1 species